UACAUGGGGUGCAACCGUUGCUCGGAAUUAUUGGGCGUAAAGCGCACGUAGGCGGUUCGUUAAGUCGGAUGUGAAAGCCCUCGGCUCAACUGAGGAAGUGCACCCGAAACUGGCGAGCUUGAGUACGAAAGAGGAUCGCGGAAUUCCCGGUGUAGAGGUGAAAUUCGUAGAUAUCGGGAGGAACACCAGUGGCGAAGGCGGCGAUCUGGGAAGAUACUGACGCUGAGGUGCGAAAGCGUGGGGAGCAAACAGG
rnacentral:rRNA from 1 species